rnacentral:rRNA from 1 species
GGACUACUCGGGUAUCUAAUCCUGUUUGCUCCCCACGCUUUCGUAUCUCAGCGUCAGACACGGUCCAGAUGGCCGCCUUCGCCACUGAUGUUCCUCCUGAUAUCUACGGAUUUCACCCCUACACCAGGAAUUCCACCAUCCUCUACCGUCCUCUAGCUUUCCAGUAUCCAAUGCAGUUCCGAAGUUGAGCCCCGGGAUUUCACAUCAGACUUAGAAAACCGCCUACAUACGCUUUACGCCCAAUAAUUCCGAGCAACGCUUGCACCCUCCGUAUUACCGCGGCUGCUGGCAC